UGUGUUUAGAAACAGAAGAGGCCAUCCUUUGAGGAAACCACCCGGAGCUGACCCUCCUCAGGCUCCUUCUCUUCCUUCGCUUUAUGAGGAUCCAGAGGAGGAAGACAACAACGAAGCUCCACCUGUUGUUGGACCAGAGCCUGAACAUCCAAAAUCUACCAAUACAUGCUCUGGAAC